ACCGCCCGUCAAGCGAUGGAAGCUGGGAGCACCCGAAGUCGACGUACCAACCCGCAAGGGAGGCAGUCGCCGAAGGUGAGACUAGUAACUGGCGCU
rnacentral:rRNA from 1 species